AUUGAACGCUGGCGGCAGGCCUAACACAUGCAAGUCGAGCGGCAGCGGGAAAGUAGCUUGCUACUUUUGCCGGCGAGCGGCGGACGGGUGAGUAAUGCCUGGGAAAUUGCCCAGUCGAGGGGGAUAACAGUUGGAAACGACUGCUAAUACCGCAUACGCCCUACGGGGGAAAGCAGGGGACCUUCGGGCCUUGCGCGAUUGGAUAUGCCCAGGUGGGAUUAGCUAGUUGGUGAGGUAAUGGCUCACCAAGGCGACGAUCCCUGGCUGGUCUGAGAGGAUGAUCAGCCACACUGGAACUGAGACACGGUCCAGACGCCUACGGGAGGCAGCAGUGGGGAAUAUUGCACAAUGGGGGAAACCCUGAUGCAGCCAUGCCGCGUGUGUGAAGAAGGCCUUCGGGUUGUAAAGCACUUUCAGCGAGGAGGAAAGGUUGAUGCCUAAUACGUAUCAACUGUGACGUUACUCGCAGAAGAAGCACCGGCUAACUCCGUGCCAGCCGCCGCGGUAAGAC
rnacentral:rRNA from 1 species